CCGGCGUUAUCUGAAUGAAUGGAAACUCUGUUUUCACGCUCUUACUGCUCCACAGCGCCAUUUAGGGGACCAGCAGGACAGUACAGCAGCUUAACGUUGGCCAUUACGACUCUGUCUAGUGAUUCGGUUCUUUUGUUUUGAUUCACUUGAUUCACCGGUCUGAGCAUCGCCAGUGAAACGACUCUCAGACUUUAAUUAUUCGACUCUUCUUAAACUACCAUCCAUCCAUCCAUUUUCUGUAUUGUUUAUCCUACACAGGGUCACAGGGAGCCUGGAGCCUAUCCCAGGGGACUCGGAGUACGAGGCAGGGGACACCCAUCUACAGUUUUAAAUAGAGCAGAGGGGUCAAACUCAGUUUAGAAAACAGGCCAAUUUACUCUUAGUCCAAGCCCAGACCCAAAAAAUCACUUUAGUAACCAAUAACACAUCAUGUCUGAAAGAUAUAUUCUGAAUAAAUAAUUGGAAUGUAUACAUACAGAUGACCAAACUGCAAUUCAUUACCAAAUUUUCAGCUUGCUAAUAAAAUGAAAUUUAUUGUUCUAUGUUGCCCCCUAGUGGAAUAACAGAGACUAGCAAGUCACAAGAUCAUUUUCAUUUAGAACACGGCUUCUAAAUUAAAUUCUAAAUAAAUUCACUGUGUUGUAACAUCUUGACAAAAUAAAAACAUGGCUCACAUGUCAGUAUAUAUAUCCAUCCAUUUUCUGUACCACUUAUCCUACAUAGGGUCCCCAGAAGCCUGGAUCCUAUGGCAGGGGACACUCUGGACAGGGUGCCAACCCAUCACAGGGCACAAUCACACACCCAUUCACACACUACAGACAAUUUGGAAAUGCCAAUCAGGCUACAACGCAUGACUUUGAACUGGGGGAGGAAACCAGAGUACCCGGAGGAAACCCCGAAGCACGGGGUGAAUAUGCAAAUGCCGCACACACAGGGCAGAGGUGGGAAUCAAACCCCCAACCCCGAAGCUGUCUUAGCAAUACAUCAUUGAACCGCUUACAAGAGGUCCAAAAUGCUGCCGCUAAGCUUCUGACCAAGUCAUCUAGAAGAUGGGAAAGCAGGUGAUGUCCGGGGUGAGUGGGGUCCAUUAUGAUACAACUGGCUUUCUUUCUGAGACGGCCAGUGUAAAUGUCUUUGGGCGGAGGUAGUGUUGUGCCAAUGAUGUGGAAAUAUUCAGGGUCUUCGAUGGACAAAGCAAUGUGGUGCUGACAGUUUUCUUAAAUCAGAAUGAGAU